AGGCAGCCUGGCUUGGAGGGGCCCUCAGAGGCUGUGGUGCCCAGGCCAGGCACUGUGGCUCCCACUGCUUCCUCCUAUCUCCUCUCUGCCACCCUCAGUCCGUCCCCUCCUGCCUGUGCCCCUCUUCUCCCUCCGUCCAAUCCCCCUGCCCAGCCCCAUCUGUCUCCUCUGCAUUGCGCCAUGUGUCUGUUUUUUCUGUCUCUCUGGGUUGGUCUCUUUCCUCAUCAGUGUCUGUCUGUCUGUCACUCUGCACAUACAUCUCUUUCUUGCUCUGUCUCUGUCUCAUUCUGUGCAUCCACUCCAGCAUCUCUGGGUCCCCACGUCGCUAUCUCCCUGGGGGUCUUUGUCUCUUUGUGCCGGGUCUUUUUGCUCUUCUCUCUCUGUGUCUCUCUCUGUCCGUCUCUGCCUCUCUGUGUCUCUGUCUUCCCUGAGGGGGUGUGUGUCUGUCUGUCCGUCCACUGGGUCUCAGGCAACUGAAAAUACCCCCUGCGUCCCAUUUGAUGUGCAGUUGUGAGAUUCCCUUUGAAUAUUGCAGCAGCGAGUUGACGGUUGCCAAGGGAACAGUUUUCCCAGGCAGCUUUGC
rnacentral:lncRNA from 10 species